rnacentral:snoRNA from 1 species
GCGACCUUACUUGAACAUGAUCUGUUUUAUAGGAUCAUACUAUCCUUGAGUUUAGUAGAUGAACUGUGGCAAUGAGACCAGAGGAUGAUUAACAGCCUCCUUGUGCGAGGCAGUUUCCGAAGACCCUUGGCUAAAAUAAGCAUUUUCAUAAGCUGCUUUUGAAAAAUA